UAUGGAUUUGCUUUUAUCUGAGGCAGAUCCAAAGAAAAUCUGUUCUCAAAUUAAGUUGUGUACUUUUGAUGGAACUCGAGGAGUUAGUAUGGGAAUCGAGAGUGUCGUAGAUGAGAAUGUCGGUAAAUCAUCUGAUGGUCUAAGGGAUGGCAUGUGCUCUGUAUGUGAGAUGACAGUUGUCUGGAUGCAAAAUCAACUUCGUCAGAAUCAAACCAAAGAACGCAUAAUAAACUAUAUCAACGAGCUAUGUGAGCGAAUGCCUAGUCCAAUGGGACAAUCAGCUGUCGACUGUGGAAAACUUUCUUCCAUGCCUAGUGUUUCCUUCACCAUUGGUGGCAAAGUUUUUGACCUAGCCCCAGAAGAGUAUAUACUCAAGGUGGGUGAGGGUGUUGCAGCUCAGUGCAUCAGUGGAUUCACAGCAUUUGAUAUUCCUCCUCCUCGUGGACCCCUCUGGAUCUUGGGAGACGUCUUCAUGGGCCGCUACCACACAGUAUUUGAUUAUGGCAAGCUGAGAGUCGGAUUUGCAGAGGCAGCAUGAAGAAGCACCUCGUUUGGUGGCUUAGUUCGGAUGCCUUCAAUGUUUAUACACAUGAGCCAUCUUUAGUUUCAAUGGAACCUAACUUUACUUUAUGUUCAUGGAUUUAUGGAGUGUUAAAUGCGGUUUGCUUCCCUGCAAAAGGUUGAA
rnacentral:misc_RNA from 1 species